AGGACGAACGCUGGCGGCGCGCCUAACACAUGCAAGUCGAACGAGCGAGAGAGAGCUUGCUUUCUCAAGCGAGUGGCGGACGGGUGAGUAACGCGUGGGUAACCUGCCUUGUACUGGGGGACAACAGUUGGAAACGACUGCUAAUACCGCAUAAGCGCACAGCUUCGCAUGAAGCAGUGUGAAAAACUCCGGUGGUACAAGAUGGACCCGCGUCUGAUUAGCUGGUUGGUGAGGUAACGGCCCACCAAGGCAACGAUCAGUAGCCGGCCUGAGAGGGUGAACGGCCACAUUGGGACUGAGACACGGCCCAAACUCCUACGGGAGGCAGCAGUGGGGAAUAUUGCACAAUGGGGGAAACCCUGAUGCAGCAACGCCGCGUGAGUGAAGAAGUAUUUCGGUAUGUAAAGCUCUAUCAGCAGGAAAGAAAAUGACGGUACCUGACUAAGAAGCCCCGGCUAACUACGUG
rnacentral:rRNA from 1 species